rnacentral:piRNA from 1 species
CCGGAUGUGCAGACAUUACCCUGGG